UUGAAGUUCUCCCAUCUCUUAAAAGACUGAAGCAGCGAAUUACUGCAGCUGGUCGUGGAGAAUAUGAUGCUGUUUUUAUGUCUGGAAGUGGAAGCACUAUUGUUGGCAUUGGUUCACCAGAUCCUCCACAAUUUGUUUAUGAUGAAGAUACAUACAAAGAUGUUUUCUUGUCAGAUGCAUAUUUCCUCACUAGAGAGGCUAACCAGUGGUACAGAGAACCUACCUCAAGCCCUACCCCUUCGUCCUAUUCUUCUCAGAUUGCUUAAUUAGUCUUCUUUCCAUUUCCAUAAGCCUCUACAUGGUUAUAUAUUAUCUCCAUAUUGUAAUCAUGAAAUGAUGUAGAACUUAGCUCUGCUGCAUUUUCUGCUUUAGUUGCUGCGACUUUCAUGAGCCAAAUUCAAGGAUCUGGGUUCUCUGCUGUACCUUUAUGCUGCUACAAUUAUAAAAUUUUAAUUUUUUA